rnacentral:rRNA from 1 species
AUUGAACGCUGGCGGCAUGCCUUACACAUGCAAGUCGAACGGCAGCACGGGUGCUUGCACCUGGUGGCGAGUGGCGAACGGGUGAGUAAUAUAUCGGAACGUACCUUAUUGUGGGGGAUAACGCAGCGAAAGCUGUGCUAAUACCGCAUAAUCCCUUAGGGGGAAAGCGGGGGACCGUAAGGCCUCGCGCAAUUAGAGCGGCCGAUACCUGAUUAGCUAGUUGGGGAGGUAAAGGCUCACCAAGGCGACGAUCAGUAGCUGGUCGGAGAGGACGAUCAGCCACACUGGGACUGAGACACGGCCCAGACUCCUACGGGAGGCAGCAGUGGGGAAUUUUGGACAAGGGGGGCAACCCUGAUCCAGCAAUGCCGCGUGAGUGAAGAAGGCCUUCGGGUUGUAAAGCUCUUUUGUCAGGGAAGAAACAGCAGCUCUAACACAGUAUGCGAAUGACGGUACCUGAAGAAUAAGCACCGGCUAACUACGUGCCAGCCGCCGCCGUAA